GAGAGAGAGAGAGAGUAAUUAUAAAUAGGUGUAAUCGAAUCGAAAAAUAUCGAAUUCAAAUUCGAAAUAAAAACACGCACACGCGAUUAUCGAAGAAGGGAAUAUAUAUAAAAGUUAUUUCUCUGAAUAAAAUCGAAAUAUUCUUUAUUUUAAGUGUACGUCAUAUCGCGUUGUUUAUCAUGUUACUCUUUGACGUAAAAAAUGUUCCAAUUUUUUAAAAAACCUGGGCAACGAGACAGGCCCAGAUUAUUACAUGCAUCGCCAACAAAAUCAACACAAUUAGGAAAGACAUUUGCAGAUGAAUACGGUGAUGAUUGUGCGUCGAUCUAUUUACCAUCAAGUACAUUGUGCAGCCUUGAGGAGGAAGAGGAAGAUGAUAUCGUUAAGGAAGAUAAAGACAAUAAAAGACCGUUCAGGUCACAACUUUCUAAAACGCUUCCAGAAAUUCUUGCAGAUAAGGAUGCCCUAGGUUAUUUCAUUCAAUUUAUGGAUACAAGACAUUCAAUAGCUCUUAUCAAGUUUUGGUUAGAAGUUGAAUGUUUAUGCGAAUCAUUUCCCAAUUUUCAUCUCAGCAAUGAAAAUGUAGAGAAUUUUAAUUUGAAGAACGAUUGUACUACUACUACUAUUGCUACUACUACUACUACUACUACUACUACUAUUACUACUAUGGAGUCAAGUAGUUUGUCUAAUUCGUUGGAUGAUAAUGAUAAUUUUAAUUGCAACGUGCUCCAAGGUAAUAUUGAAAAUGAUGUUAGAGAAAAGGGACUGUACAAUGAAAUUGUAAAUACUAACGAUGUUAAAUCAAAUUGUAAUGACACGCCAAAGAUUAAUGAGAUGCUAAGUGGUAUGCGACAAUUAAAUCGCAAGUUGGAGAACGAUAGAGGAGGCGAUAUGACAAAUACUAGGCAAGAUGCUUUAAGGAUUUAUAAAAAAUAUAUUAUUAAAGAAACAUUGGGUACUAAUAGAAUUCCUGAGGAAGUAAAACUAGAUAUAGAAAAUGCUCUUAAAUGCAAAAACAUAGAGCCUAUAUUACGGUGCCUAUCUAACAUUCAAAAUAUUAUAUUUGAUGUUAUCGAAAAGGAGUAUAUUAAUGACUUUCUUAGAAGUGAAUUUCAUUGUAAACAUCAAAUUGAUGUUCUCACCAGUGGAAAUGUACAAUUAGGAGAUAUAUUAUAUAAUGAAACUGCGUUUUUUUAUUUCAUGGAGUUCAUGGAACUCGAAAAUAAACGCGAGCUCUUAGACUUUUGGAUGGCUGCAAUUAAUUAUAAACAAAAUCUUUUGGAAAAAAAAGAUCCGAUUAAUCCUGAGGAAGCUCAAUCCGACGCUCUGAUCAUAUACGACAAAUAUUUUAGUUUGCAAGCAACUACACCUCUUGGGUUUAACGAUAAAAUACGUUUUGAAGUCGAAGAAAAUAUUUGUCGCGAAGACGGAGAGGGACCAUUACCUGAUUGUUUUGAUAAACCUUGUAAAAUUGUAUAUAAAUUUCUCAAUAAGCACUAUUUACCUACCUUUUUAUCGUCGCAGUUGUAUUAUAAAUAUUUAUCGGAACUGAUCAGUACCAUUCAAAGCAAUCCAUGUUCGAAUUAUCAGCUCCGGAUAAAGAGAGCGGGUUCCGACUGCAGUAGUGAAGUGAGCUCUAUUAGCAACAGUAUGCAAAGCACCCUGCAGGCAGGGAACAAUGCCAAUGGAAUAUUAUCUAAUACUAGUACUAGUACGAAGACAAGUGCACACAAUAAUAUGAAUAUCGAUACAAGACAACUUUACGAUCCAGAUUCUUUAUGGAGACGUAACAAAUAUAGAUUAAGCGUUGGCUACAUCGAUUACUUGGGUAGAUUUAUUACAGAAAUAGAACCUGAUCCUUGCAGAAAAUAUGAAUCACGAUUAGCGCGCGCUGUCAAAAGACUCGUCAAUUUGGAACAAGAUAAGGCAAAAGAAGAGUUAGCAUGGAAAAUAGCAGAAAUGAUCAUUCGUGAUAUUACGUCUUUGACUUUAGGAGCAACAAAUCAUCCAUCUUGAUGGGAUAUAUACUUUACCAUAUAAAAAUCAUUUUGGAAGCUUUUUGUACACCGCAAGAAAUGGUUAAAAAGGUUAAAAAUAUAUUUCAUGAAAUGUGCCAAAAGUUCAAUGAAAAUUAAGUUACUUUAUAGAUCGGCUACAAUUAUUUAAAUUUGAUAUUUUUAAACAAUUUCACGGAGCACUGCUUAAUUAUUUUCAUUUUUCACAAAUCAAGUUUGAUAUUAAUGGAUUAUUAGAAUGAGGUUUUAAUAUACGAUAGGUCUUAUAUGUGAUUUAUAUUUACAAUUAGAUUAUAAUAUGUUAGUACAAUUGUUUUAUUUUAGUUUAUAAUAUAUUUACAAAAAUACGAAUACGUAAAGAGUGUCUAAGAUUUUUCCAACCAAACUGUGUUUGUUUUAUUUUCGUGCAUAGAAUACACUGACACUGUUUAACUGGAAAAACCUCAGACACCUUGUAUACAUCAGAUAAUCAAAGUAAAUUCAUUGUAUAUAAUAUCUUUUAAUUAUGAAAGUAACAAUUUCAAAAUACAGGAUAGUAUUAUACCCCAUUCGUUUACUACUUAAUAUUUUAUAUUUUUUCUAUAAAUUUUCUUUAUUACAUGACAUCUUGAUACAUACAUAUAUAUUGUUUUAAGUUAACAAUUAAUAUAUUUACCGGUUAGUGCGUAUCACAGAUGAAACAAUAAAAUAUUAAAUACUAUAUUUUAAGAAGCAACAUAAUGGAAACAAUGGUACAAGUUAAAUGAGUAUCUCUUUUGAAAGAAUUUUAAGAGUAUAUAUACUCUUAAUUUUAAAAAAACAAUUUAUCAGAAAAUAAAGUCAAUGAAAGAGAGAGAUUGUUCAUAUUUGUGAAUAUAUAUAUAACUGUAGAUAUAUAUCGUGCAAGAGUCGCUGUAGAGCCAGCACAAAUUGAAUCGCUUAAAAAUGUUUUUAAGUUAACUAAACAUCUUCUUAAAUUAUAAAUAAUACUCCAACAAUUUGAGAAGGUAUAAUUUUUAUUCAUGAGAUUAUAUAAAAGUAUUAAUUUUGAAUAUAUAAUAAUUAUAAGCGCAUAACAAAAUAAUUUCCGUAAAAUGCAUUCUUUUGAACGCGUUUAAAAUUUUAAUUAUUAUUUAUUUAAACGUUUCUCUUCUUUUUUUUUAAUACUAUAUUACAGAAAACACAAAUUUCUUCCCAGCAGUAUUUUAUUGGUGCGAUAUCUUAAUCCUUUUGAUACUACCAGUGACACUGUAGUAAAGGGUUAAGCUAUAUUCUAUUAAAAAAGUAUAGUUAUAAAUUUAAAAAAUAAAAAAAUGAUCUGAUUAAUUAAUUGAAAAAUAAUAAAAAAAUUUUUCUUAGCGUGCUAGUAGCAUAAACGAAGUUGAUUAAUUGUAUAUAUUAAUAUCUGUAAUAUAUAAUAUAUAAAAUUAAAAGAGACACACUGCAUAUAAACAUACAUACAGAUUAAAUAAACGAAUUAAGAAUUAGUUGAUUAGAAUUAAAUAGUAAAUUUAUUUUCGAGUAUAUAUAUAAAAAUUGUACAUUAUGUAUAAGAAAAGGAAAAAAAAAAAAGAAGAAUCAUUAAAAUUGAUAAAAGUAAUAUGUGCUAUACUUGAAUAAUGUACUAUCGUAAAUGAUAAGCUGAUAGAUCAAAAUUGUGAUGUUAACGAAUAUAACAUAUUUACUGCUGCUUGCUGGUUCCUUUUUAUACUAUAUUUAAUACACAACUAAUUAUUAAUUUUUUUAAAAACUUGUAAUAAUAACAAACGUAACAACAUUUUUAUAGCACUUACAUUUAUUAAUUAUUUCAAUGAAUGUAAAAUAUUUCUUUUCGCGUGACAAUAGAAAAGAUGUAUAUUUUGAAUUAACAAGAAUAUUAUUAUUGUGUCUAUUAUAUUUAUUA
rnacentral:misc_RNA from 1 species